CCCAGUUCCUGUUUGAGAGAAGGCAGAAGAGGCAGCACUACCUAAACCAUAAACUCGACUUCCUUGCCAUCCUCCUGCUGCAGUAAUAAACAAUUGAUCCUCAUUAAUAGUUCCUUCAUCUCCUUCCACAUGAUCUGAUCCCACAUACUGGCUUGAAUGUUGUUCUUUUAGCUUCAGAUAAUUUUCCUACAAAAUCACAUAAUAACAGUUCAAUUUGAAUACUAAAGUAAGGAAAAAUGCUAAGACCUACAAGAUAUGACAAUUAUAAUACCUGCAAGAUAUCACAUUUACAAUACUUGCAAGAUAUCAUAAUAGAAAAAUCAAUCACACAACUGAGAAUCAUAAACAAUUUCCUUGUGAGAAUCACCUAGAUAUCAAAAUCAUACUUGCAACUGAAAAUCAAUCACACAACUGAGAAUCAUAACCAAUUUCCUUGUGAGAAUCAUCUAGAUAUCAAAAUCAUACUUGCAACUGAAAAUCAAUCACACAACUUAAAAUCAAUCAACAACUCAAAAUCAAUUACACAACUGAGAAUCAUAAACAAUUUCCUUGUGAGAAUGACCUAGAUAUCAAAAUCAUACUUGCAACUGAAAAUCAAUCACACAACUCAAAAUCAAUCAACAACUCAAAAUAAAUCACACAACUGAGAAUCAUAAACAAUUUCCUUGUGAGAAUCAUAAACAAUUUCCUUGUGAGAAUCACCUAGAUAUCAGAAUCAUACUUGCAACUGAAAAUCAAUCAAACAACUCAAAAUCAAUCACACAACUGAGAAUCAUAAAUAAUUUCCUUGUGAGAAUGACCUAGAUAUCAGAAUUAUACUUGUAACUGAAAAUCAAUCACACAACUCAAAAUCAAUCAACAACUCAAAAUCAAUCACACAACUGAGAAUCAUAAACAAUUUCCUUGUGAGAAUUACCUAGAUAUCAGAAUCAUACUUGCAACUGAAAAUCAAUCAAACAACUCAAAAUCAAUCACACAACUGAGAAUCAUAAACAAUUUCUUUGUGAGAAUCACCUAGAUAUCAGAAUCAUACUUGCAAUUGAAAAUCAAUCACACGACUCAAAAUCAAUCAACUACUCAAAAUCAAUUACACAACUGAGAUAUCAGAAUCAUACUUGCAACUAAAAAUCAAUCACAACUCAAAAUCAAUCAACAACUAAUAAUCAAUCACAUAGACAUCAAAAUCAUACUUGCAAGAUAUUACUUAGAAAGACAACUUGUUUAUAUAGAAACUUACAUAAACAAUUUCAGCUCGUUUAUCAACAAAUUUGUUGCGAUCACUCUUCUUUUGUAUGCGUCUAGCAUGCUCCUCAUGUGUUAUGGACCCACCUGUAUGUUUAGAAGGACCAGCUCCUUCACCUCCCUUCUCUGUUAGGCGGUUCUUUGAGUACUUCAUUGACUUUGCUACAUACUCUGGAGUACUCCAAUCUAAAUUCCAUUUAUCCCAAACUUCAAUUGAUAUAUAAGCACUCCUCUUUUUUUUCUUCUUUUCAUUUGUCAGAAAGUCUUUGUAUCGGGUAGCUGCUUUUUUAUUCCAUGCCUUCCUCACUAUUGCAGCACUUCCCUCAUCCCAGUGAAAUUCUUUCUAUAAAUUAAUUUAAAAAACACAUGUAUAAUACAACAUAAAUUAUAAGACAUUAUAUCUUUGUUAGAAUGCAUAAUAUAUUGCGUACCUCAAACUCUCUAAAAUAAAAAUCUUUUGUGGAUUGUGGGAUAUUCUUCCAGGAAGAACCCUCCACAUUGUACUUUUGAAAAAUCUUUGUGCAAGCACCAGAUGUCUUCUCAGAAGGCAUAAGACUGUAAUAGUUUAAUAAUGCGAGCAUCAUUUAUAAAUAUCCAAUAUAAUUAUUUGUAAAUAAUUAACCAAAAUGAAAACUAAUAACAAAGAUAUGUAAUACAAUGAUAAGUAAUGUUAUACAUUAUACUUACUUUCCGCUUGCAUGCACAUAACAGUAGGUCCUAGUAGCAUGUGAUGAGGAUGAGGAUGCAGAUCGACUAGUACUCGAUCCCGGAAUAGAACUUGAAGAAGUUAGGGCAGUGGGGGCAACUUGAGCAAGUGGAGGGGCUGCAGGGGCUGAGUAUGAUACAGGGAUUGUUGGAGUAAGUGCUGGGGCUCUAAAGUCAACUGAAGAAGGUGCAGUGGCUAUAAUGCCUCGACCACGAACAAUUUCUGGAUCACCUCGGCCUCGGCCUCUACCUGUACCCGUUAAAACACCACGAUCAGCAUUACGUGCAUCUUCUUUACCUUUACCCCUGGCCAUAUCUGCACAAAAAAAUAUCCAACAGGAGAUUAGUAUGUUGUAAAGUAAAAAUAAUCAACAAUAAUAAAAAAGAUAAUUAGAGCAAAAAAGUUUACUAUACAGCUUAGAGUUGACUAAUCUAAGUAAUAUUCAUCAUUGUCUGAAGUUGAAUAAUGAUAUGUCUCAUCUUCUUCUUCUUCUUCAACUAAUUCCGAAAUCAACACUUCACCACCCGCUGGAUCAUUUAAUGUCUCAGGUAAUCCUUCUUCAUUUAAGACUAAAGGCUGCAAAGUUACAGUAUCUUCUUGAUAUGCAUCUGUUGUUGAUGCUGUCGAAGGUACAACAACAUUUGGUAAUUCAAUCACUGGCCUGGCUUUAAUUUUUAUCACAGAUUGCCAAUCAGACCUUGCUCGUCUUAAAGAAGGAUAAGGAAUGUAAUAAACUCGUUGUGCCUGGCUAGCCAAAACAAAUGGCUCAUACUUAUGAAAUCUCCUUCUUUGAUUUACAUCCACAAUAUUAUACAUUAAAUGAAUUUUCACUCCAACAUGUGGGGUAGGAUCAAACCAUUCACAGUGGAAUAGAACUGUCCGCUUCAUAGGUAAAGCCGGGUACUCUACUUCAAGAACCUCUAUUAACUUACCAUAGUAAUCACUUGAUUGAUCACUAUAGUUCGUUCCUUUAAUGCAUACACCACAAUUCACCAUCAUUCGAUUAGCACUUCGUCCCUCAGUGUGAAAUUUGUAUCCAUUUACAUAGUAUCCUGUGUACACAUUCACUGUAUUUACAGGUCCUUUGGCUAAAUCUUGGAUGAGAGGAUUGUUCACUGUGUUGGUUGGUUCAUGUACCUAUUACAACAAGUGAACAUAUAAAAUUAAUUUUAAUUCAUUCACCAAAUUCAGCGUAGUAUUGCGAGUAUUAUAAAGCUUACGUAUGCUUUGAACCAUGUGGAAAAGUUAUUCUCCAAUGUGAUGUCUACCUCCCCAUCGGUAAUGUUAGGUGAUAUCCUUCGUAGUUCCUCAAUAUAUAUUCUUGCAUUAGGAGAAAUUAUAUAACUUUGGUUAUUUCCAUGAAUAUAUAUGCAUUUUAGAAGACUAUUAAAUUUAUAAUUUGGCGGUGAAUUUCACAUACUUGAUAAAUGGCGAAACUUCUUCACAAUUUAGUAAGAUAUAUAAAUGAGCUGCAUUUCUUUCAUCCUUUGUCAAUAUCCUUUUCUUCGAUUGACCUAUGGGUCUACCCGGAUAUUUGAAUAUUGAUAAAUUUUCUUCAAUCUCCUGACCUUCCACUACGCAACCAUCAUCAUUACGUGGAACCCGUCGAUGCCUUGUAGAAACAUGCGACUCAAAAUAGUAAGCACAAAAAGAAGAUGCUUCUUCUACCAAGUAUGCAUUAGCAAUUGAUCCUUCAACUUUGGCUUUAUUUUUAAUAUUCUUCUUUAAAAUUCCAUUGUACCUGUAUUACAUAAUUAAUUAGCAUACAAAUUAAGCAUAUUAAAUAAUUGAUAUUUUGAAAAAGCAGCAGUGAUUAAUUAUUACCGCUCAUAAGGAUACAUCCAAUGAUAUUGCACUGGACCCCCAAUGCGAGCUUCAUAUGCAAGAUGAACCGGAAGAUGUUCCAUCGAGUCGAAGAAACCCGGAGGAAAUAUUCGCUCCAAUUUGCAUAGUAUAACCGGAAUGUCCUCUUCAAGCCUUUGCAUAUCUUCCUCCCGUAAGAUCGUACUCGUUAGUUGCUUAAAGAAAAUACUUAGCUCGGUAAUUGCUUCCCACACUCUCAUUGGUAAUAAUUCACGAAAAGCAAUAGGCAACAACCUUUGCAUGAAAAUAUGACAAUCAUGACUUUUCAUUCUAAAUAAUCUAUACUUGUUCAUGUCGACACAUCGAGCCAUGUUAGAUACAUAACCAUCAGGAAAUCUGAGUCCCUUCAUCCAUUCACAAAUAACUUGUUUUGCCGAUUUGUCCAAUGCAUAUAUUGCUUUUGGAUACCUGCCAGUUUCUGCAUUAACCUCCAACUCAGGCCGCCGACAUAUUUCCCUCAUAUCUUCUCUUGCUUUUGCAUUAUCUUUUGUUUUACCCUCUAUAUUCAUAAUGGUAUUGAACAAGUUAUCAAAAAAAUUCUUUUCAAUAUGCAUUACAUCAAGGUUGUGUCUAAUAAGCAAGGAACUCCAAUAAGGUAAAUCCCAGAAUAUGCUGCGUUUCCUCCAUCCACAUGUCUUACUAAUAACAACAUUAACAACAUCUGAACCUGGAUCUGUCACUUUCAUUAAUCCAAGACUCUCUAUCUCAUGCAAAAUUUCCUCUCCAGUCCUUACUAGAGGUGCAUGUUCAGUUACAACUUUGUUUUUUCUAAACCAUGAUUUAUUCUUCCGCCAUGGAUGGUUAUGGUUCAAAAAUUUGCGAUGAUUGUCAAACCAACAUUGUUUUCCACCUCUUGGCAAAGUAAAUGCAUCAGUGUUAUCCAUACAAUAUGGGCAUGCAAGCCUUCCUGCAGUGCUCCAACCAGAAAGCAUGGCAUAAGCAGGAAAGUCACUAAUGGUCCAUAGCAAAGCAACCCGCAUAAGAAAAUUUUGCUUCUUAUCCACAUCAUAUGUCUCAACCCCCAUGUUCCAUAAUUGUUUUAGUUCUUCGAUUAAGGGUUGUAAGAAUAUAUCAAUUUUAAAUUUAGGAUUAUUUGGGCCCGGAACUAUAACAGUGAGAAACAUAUAUUCUGACUUCAUACACAGCCAUGGCGGAAGAUUAUACGGUGUCAGAAUGAUGGGCCAAGAUGAGUACUGUUGGCCAGAUUGUCCAAAUGGUUGGAAUCCGUCAGUAGACAAUCCAAGCAUCACAUUCCUUAUCUCUGAUCCAAAUGAUGGAUAACAGGCAUUAAAGUGU
rnacentral:lncRNA from 1 species